rnacentral:rRNA from 1 species
ACCCGUUGAUCCUGCGGGAGAAUACAGCUAUCGGGAUUCGACUAAGGCAUGCAAGUCCAGGGGACCUUUUAGGUAACCGGCGUAAUGCUCAGUAACACGUCAUUAAUCUAACCUUGAGUUUGGGAUAGCCUUGAGAAAUUGAGGGUAAUACCAAAUAUAAAAAAUGUUCUGGAAUGAUAUUUUUCUUAAAGUUUCGACGCUUAAGGAUGAGAUGGCGGCUGAUUAGAUUGUUGGUAGGGUAAAGGCCUACCAAGUCGAAGAUCAGUACGGGCCUUGGAAGAGGUAGCCCGGAGAAGGGUACUGAAAAACUGACCCUAGCCCUACGGGGUGCAGCAGCUGCGAAACCUUUACAAUGCACGAAAGUGUGAUAAGGGAAUCUCGAGUGCUUAUGCUUAGCAUAGGCUUUUGUUAAAAGUAAAUAUUUUAACGAAUAAGUGGUGGGCAAGACUGGUGCCAGCAGCCGCGGUAAUACCAGCGCCACAAGUUGUAUUCAGAAUUAUUGGGCCUAAAGCGUCCGUAGUUGGUUUAGUAUGUCUCCUGUGAAAUCGUUGGACUUAACCCAACGGACUGCAAGAGAAACUGCUAUAACUUGAGACCGGGAGAUGUCAAGAGUAUUCUUUGGGGAGCGGUAAAAUGCUUUAAUCCUUAGAGGACUACCUGUGGCGAAGGCGCUUGACAAGAACGGAUCUGACAAUGAGGGACGAAAGCUAGGGGAGCAAACCGGAUUAGAUACCCGAGUAGUCCUAGCCGUAAACGCUGCGAGCCAGGUGUUGCAUAUACUUAGAGUCUAUGCAGUAUCGUAACGAAGGUGUUAAGCUCGCCGCCUGGGAAGUACGGUCGCAAGGCUGAAACUUAAAGGAAUUGGCGGGGGAGCACUACAACGAGUGAGGCGUGCGGUUUAAUCUAACUCUACACAGAGAAUCUCACCAGGGGCGACGGCAGAAUGAAAGUCAGAUUAAAGGUCUUACUUAACAAGCCGAGAGGUGGUGCAUGGCCGUCGAAAGCUCGUGCCGUGAGGUGUCCAGCUAAGCCUGGUAACGAGCGAGACCUGUAUCUACAAUUGCUAGCAGGUUCUUUUGAAUGACUGAGCACAUUGUAGAAACUGCCUUUGUAAAAAGGAGGAAGGUGCAGGCAACGAUAGGUCUGUAUGCCCCGAAUCUCCUGGGCUACACGCGCGCAACAAUGGUAAGAACAAAGGGCUACUACUCCGAAAGGGGACGUUAAUCCUCUAAAUCUUAUCUUAGUACAGAUUGAGGAUUGUAACUCAUCCUCAUGACGCUGGAAUUCGUAGUAAUCAGAAGUUAUCAGCUUCUGGUGAAUAUGUCCCUGCUCCUUGCACACACCGCCCGUCAAACCAACUGAGCAGGGUUUAGGUGAGCAUUAAUUGUUUUGAUUAAUUCGAAUCUAAACUCAGUGAGGUGGGUUAAGUCGUCACAAGGUC